rnacentral:piRNA from 1 species
UGCCUGCGCCCAGAGAAAAUGGAGG